AAUAGUAGGUAGAAGCUGGUUUUACCAAAACUCCAAUUUCCUAACCAAGUUUUUUAAUGCCUCUCAGCACUUUGGAAACUGCUUUUACUGAUGCAAGUUCCACACCUAGUUCUAUUUCAGAUGUC